rnacentral:rRNA from 1 species
UACGUAGGGGGCUAGCGUUGUCCGGAAUCAUUGGGCGUAAAGAGCGUGUAGGCGGCCCGGUAAGUCCGCUGUAAAAGUCAAAGGCUCAACCUUUGAAUGUCAGUGGAUACUGCCGGGCUAGAGUCCGGAAGAGGCGAGUGGAACUCCUGGUGUAGCGGUGGAAUGCGCAGAUAUCAGGAGGAACACCGGUGGCGAAGGCGGGUCUCUGGGCCGAUACUGACGCUGAGGAGCGAAAGCGUGGGGGAGCGAACAGG